UCCUUCUUAGCUCAGUUGGUAGAGCGCGUCACUAGUAUGAUAUUGAUGAAAGCCAAAUCUAAUGACGAGGUCAGUCGUUCGAGUCGGCUAGAAGGAA
rnacentral:tRNA from 1 species